rnacentral:sRNA from 1 species
AUCCGCAUUUGCUACCAGCGGCGGCCGCGGCGGAGCCAGGCCGGUCCUCAGCGCCCAGCACCGCCGCUCCCGGCAACCCGGAGCGCGCACCGCAGGCCGGCGGCCGAGCUCGCGCAUCCCAGCCAUCACUCUUCCACCUGCUCCUUAGAGAAGGGAAGAUGAGUGAGUCGAGCUCGAAGUCCAGCCAGCCCUUGGCCUCCAAGCAGGAAAAGGACGGCACUGAGAAGCGGGGCCGGGGCAGGCCGCGCAAGCAGCCUCCGAAGGAGCCCAGCGAAGUGCCAACACCUAAGAGACCUCGGGGCCGACCAAAGGGAAGCAAAAACAAGGGUGCUGCCAAGACCCGGAAAACCACCACAACUCCAGGAAGGAAACCAAGGGGCAGACCCAAAAAACUGGAGAAGGAGGAAGAGGAGGGCAUCUCGCAGGAGUCCUCGGAGGAGGAGCAGUGACCCAUGCGUGCCGCCUGCUCCUCACUGGAGGAGCAGCUUCCUUCUGGGACUGGACAGCUUUGCUCCGCUCCCACCGCCCCCGCCCCUUCCCCAGGCCCACCAUCACCACCGCCUCUGGCCGCCACCCCCAUCUUCCACCUGUGCCCUCACCACCACACUACACAGCACACCAGCCGCUGCAGGGCUCCCAUGGGCUGAGUGGGGAGCAGUUUUCCCCUGGCCUCAGUUCCCAGCUCCUCCCGCCCACCCACGCAUACACACAUGCCC